CAGACUAAACGGCUGGCCCUCAUCAACGCUCUGGAGACAAGCUAUCUGUUCGUCCUCGGGUUUAUCGACUGAGAAAGGAUGAACCUGGGACUCAUCAACGCUCUGGAGACAAGCUAUCUGUUCGUCCUCGGGUUUAUCGACUGAGAAAGGAUGAACCUGGGACUCAUCAACGCUCUGGAGACAAGCUAUCUGUUCGUCCUCGGUUUUAUCGACUGAGAAAGGAUGAACCUGGGACUCAUCAACGCUCUGGAGACAAGCUAUCUGUUCGUCCUCGGUUUUAUCGACUGAGAAAGGAUGAAACUGGGACUCAUCAACGCUCUGGAGACAAGCUAUCUGUUAGACAGUAGAAACAGUAGAACAGUAGAAAAAUAGCCAAAGACAGAACAGAAUGGGCAUGUCCCCACUGCAAUGCAAUGUAUCAUUACUAAUGGAGAACGGUAUGUUUUAACUAGGCAAGUCAGUUAAGAACAUUUAUUUGUAUUUUUAUAAUGACGGCCUACAUCGGCCAAUUGUACGCCGCCCUAUGGGGACUCCCAAUCACGUGCCUUAGACGUAAUCCAUUUCCUGACUAAUACAACCUAAAGAGUUCAAUGUAUUCUUGGUCUGACAUGAGAAAACAUACAGCUAAUGUAGCUAAAAUGUCAAGGGCAAUUCCACAGUAAGGAAAUGACACUUUGACUCAGAUUUGUUCACUUUAAAAUGUAUGCCAAACUGAUUUCAAAGUUUAACAAACCAUACAACUCUAUACACAAGGGCUUUUUAUUUUAUUUUUUAAAACAAUUUAUACAGAACAUUUCACAAAAACACAUUUUCUGGAAGAGCAAAGUUUUGGUCUUAGCUUUUUUUUUAAUGCGAAAGUCACCCAGUAAAAUACUACUACUAGUAAAAGUCUAAAAGUAUUUGGUUGUAAAUAUACUUACGUAUCAAAAGUAAAAGUAUAAACAAUUUUAAAUUCCUUACAUAAAGCAAAACAGAAAGCAUGAUUUUCUUGUUUUUUAAAUUUAACGAAUAUCCAGGGGCACACGCCAACACUCAGAUGUAAUUUACAAACAGUGUGUGUGUUUAGUGAGUCCUCCAGAUCAAAGGCAGUAGGGAUGACCAGGGAUGUUCUCUGUUUAGUGAAUCCUCCAGACCAGAGGCAGUAGGGAUGACCAGGGAUGUUCUCUGUUUAGUGAGUCCUCCAGAUCAGAGGCAGUAGAUGACCAGGGAUGUUCUCUGUUUAGUGAGUCCUCCAGAUCAGAGGCAGUAGAGAUGACCAGGGAUGUUCUCUGUUUAGUGAGUCCUCCAGAUCAGAGGCAGUAGGAAUGACCAGGGAUGUUCUCUGUUUAGUGAGUCCACCAGAUCAGAGACAGCGGGGAUGAGCAGGGAUGUUCUCUGUUUAGUGAGUCCUCCAGAUCAGAGGCAGUAGGGAUGACCAGGGAUGUUCUCUGUUUAGUGAGUCCUCCAGAUCAGAGGCAGUAGGGAUGACCAGGGAUGUUCUCUGUUUAGUGAGUCCUCCAGAUCAGAGACAGCAGGGAUGACCAGGGAUGUUCUCUGUUUAGUGAGUCCUCCAGAUCAGAGGCAGUAGGGAUGACCAGGGAUGUUCUCUGUUUAGUGAGUCCUCCAGAUCAGACGCAGUAGGGAUGACCAGGGAUGUUCUCUGUUUAGUGAGUCCUCCAGAUGAGAGGCAGUAGGGAUGACCAGGGAUGUUCUCUGUUUAGUGAGUCCUCCAGAUCAGAGGCAGUAGGGAUGACCAGGGAUGUUCUCUGUUUAGUGAGUCCUCCAGAUCAGAGGCAGUAGGGAUGACCAGGGAUGUUCUCUGUUUAGUGAGUCCUCCAGAUCAGAGGCAGUAGGGAUGACCAGGGAUGUUCUCUGUUUAGUGAGUCCUCCAGAUCAGAGGCAGUAGGGAUGACCAGGGAUGUUCUCUGUUUAGUGAGUCCUCCAGAUCAGAGAUAGCAGGGAUGACCAGGGAUGUUCUCUGUUUAGUGAGUCCUCC
ensembl:lncRNA